rnacentral:rRNA from 1 species
GACGAACGCUGGCGGCGUGCUUAACACAUGCAAGUCGAACGGAAAGGCCCUGCUUGCAGGGUACUCGAGUGGCGAACGGGUGAGUAACACGUGGGUGAUCUGCCCUGCACUUCGGGAUAAGCCUGGGAAACUGGGUCUAAUACCGGAUAGGAGCCAUUUUUAGUGUGAUGGUUGGAAAGUUUUUUCGGUGUAGGAUGAGCUCGCGGCCUAUCAGCUUGUUGGUGGGGUAAUGGCCUACCAAGGCGGCGACGGGUAGCCGGCCUGAGAGGGUGGACGGCCACAUUGGGACUGAGAUACGGCCCAGACUCCUACGGGAGGCAGCAGGGGGGAAUAUUGCACAAUGGGCGCAAGCCUGAUGCAGCGACGCCGCGUGGGGGAGGACGGCCUUCGGGUUGUAAACUCCUUUCGCUAGGGACGAAGCUUUUUGUGACGGUACCUAGAUAAGAAGCACCGGCUAACUACGUG